UACGAAGGGGGCUAGCGUUGCUCGGAAUCACUGGGCGUAAAGCAUCCGUAGCCGGUUCUACAAGUCUUCCGUUAAAUCCACCUGCUUAACAGAUGGGCUGCGGAAGAUACUAUAGAGCUAGGAGGCGGGAGAGGCAAGCGGUACUCGAUGGGUAGGGGUAAAAUCCGUUGAUCCAUUGAAGACCACCAGUGGCGAAGGCGGCUUGCCAGAACGCGCUCGACGGUGAGGGAUGAAAGCUGGGGGAGCAAACCGG
rnacentral:rRNA from 1 species